rnacentral:rRNA from 1 species
CAGGUCUGACAUAACCCGAGAAAUCGGGGCGUAAUAGCAGAUGAUGCAGCGGCUUGACAUCAAGACAGUUGUUAAAGCUUCGGCGCCUGAAGAUGAGCCUGCGUCUGAUUAGCUAGUUGGCGGAGUAAUAGCCCACCAAGGCGACGAUCAGUAGCUGGGUCUGAGAGGAUGAUCAGCCACACUGGAACUGAGACACGGUCCAGACUCCUACGGGAGGCAGCAGUAAGGAAUAUUGCUCAAUGGGAGAAAUCCUGAAGCAGCAACGCCGCGUGAGGGAUGAAGGGCUUUUGCUCGUAAACCUCUGUAGUGAGGGAAAAAUUUCCAUUCUAUGGAAUAUGAUGGUACCUCAAAAGUAAGCCCCGGCUAACUACGUG